UGCUACUGUAGUUUCAUUUUCACUUAUAGUGGUAGUCUAGUAGGCCCCUCUCGGUCAUAACUGACCAUGGGUGAUGCAUCCUGGUCGGAUGCAAGCCUCGGUGAUGUCAUAUGGAGGACAGGCUGUUGCUCAUGCAGCACAUCCCCCCUCUCUACAUCGCUGAUCAAUCCAAAGGAACAGCAGGGCCGUUACAGUUUGGCAGCACCAUCGCAGGAGCUGCCAGAGCGAGGUUGUAGACAACGACAAACUGCCUUAGGGGCUCCGGAAUUUCUUGAGGUUUAUUCCUGGAGCCUUUUCCAUGACCGGAUAUGGCCACAAAGCAGUGGAGGUUUUAAAUCAGAGUUUUCCUUCUCCUAGAUGGACUGCCUUCCCAGGCUGACGAGCCCCAUCUGCCCGAGACUCGUGGGGGCGGGAGCGUCUACCUUCCCGAGCAGGUUUAUAGCACCUGCCCACUGCCCAGCUCACUUAUAACAUAAUAGAAUAUAAUAGGUUAGUAAAUACUUCAAAAAACAGUAUUCGGGCAUUACAUUCAUUUUUGAAAACCUUUCUGAGGAACUGUUUGAUAUCAAUAAAUCUGCAUAAAGGUAUGAACAUAUUAGGAAACAACUGUCAGACGCUGUGACAUUAGAGGAUUACACUUGGCUUCUCUUUAUUUGCAUUGAUGGAAUAUAUAUAGCACUUUCCCCUGAAGAUUGAAGGCAUGCAAAAAUGUGUGACUGAACUUUGUCAAGUCUAACUGUAGCCUGAGGGUAUCAUAAAAAAUAAUGGAAAUACAUGAAUAAAUGUAAUAAAGCUAGAACUAUUUGCCAAAAGAAGACACUAAUGAAUGGACCAUGACAAGGUCAGUGUGUUCUAGCAUUUCAAAUUAAGUAUGGUCAAGACAUUUUUACCUGUAUGAUUAUAAUAGCUAGAUAUACAUAUAUCAUAUGCACUGGCAAAGGAACAAUGACAUUCUUACUUGCAGCAGCACAACUGAAUAUAUAUCCAAUACAUUUUUCCUGCAUCUAGCCUGUCCAAUCCCUUAAGAAUUUUAUGUUUCUAUAAGGUCCCCUCUCAUUCUUCUAAAUUCCAGUGAAUAUAAGCUCAGUUGAUGCAUUAUUUCAUCAUAUGACAGUGCCGCCAUCCCAGGGAUGAACCUGGUGAACCUACGCUGCACUCCCUUAAUAACACAAAUGUCCUUCCUCAAAUUAGGAGACCAAAACUGCACACAAUACUCCAGGUGUGGUCUCACCAGGGCCCUGUACAACUGCAGUAGGACCUCCUUGCACCCAUACUCAAAUCCUCCCGCUAUGAAGGCCAACAUGCCAUUUGCUUUCUUUUGCUGUACAACUGCCUGUUAUACCUGCAUGUUUACUUUCAUAUUAUGGAGGAAAAUAUUUUUUACCAUCCGCCUAACGAUGCCUCCCAUGAUUUUGUAUGUCUCUGUCAGUUCUUCCCUCAUCCUCAUCAGCUCUCAGGAAAAUAAUCCCACCCUAAUCAUUCUCAAUAUUCCAAACCAGGCAGCUUCCUGGUAAAUCUCCACUGCACCCUCCCCAAUGUAAUUGCAUCAGUCCUUUUAUGUGGCAACCAGAACUGCCACAUUUAUCCAACUAUAACAAUAAGAUGCUGUAACCAAAGUUUUAUAAAGCCGUGAAAGAUAUACUUUAAAGUCAUAGAACAAGGUCAAAAAAGGACAGCUGUGAGGUUACAUAUGAAAAUUCAGAUUUCUUUCAGAAAAACACCAAUCUGACAUUACCAUCCCUGAAAAUGACAUCUCAUUGCCUGAUUUCUCAUGCAGAUGCAUUGAAAGGCCUGUUUUCCAUGUUCAAGUUAAACUCACCUCAUUUUAGAGCUGGUCCAUUUGAGGCAAACUAGUUGAUUUUGAUUGUAAGAUAAAACUUAAAUAUCACCAAAUAAAUUGCAGAAGGUUAACGUGGAACCUCAUUCUCCUGAUUUUCAAUUGGAGUCUUUUGGAAAAGGUGCAUUUCUGAUAAUCUUUCUUUUCCAUCCCUGUUCCACAAUCCAUAGGUUAAUUUAAUCUUCCUGUCACAUUUCUGGUGUUCUUCUUAAAGUAUGCUUGAAUCUGAUUACUUGAGAAGAUGCACCAGUGCUUGCCCUACUAAAACAGUUCCAAGAUGACAUGGAAAGAAGACAACAAUGUUUGUAUUUCCCACCUAUAGCAGUUUUCCAUCCAAAUAGUAAUGCAAAUGCAAUUGAUAAGAGUAAGUCAAAUGUGCUGCAAAUGUAGCAACAAGGAACUGCAGAUGCUGAUUUACACAAAAUGACACAGUGCUGGAGUAACUCAGCAGGUAAAGAACAUCUCUGGAAGGCAUACCUUGAGGAGAUUUUGCAGUGGAGCAGUCAAAAUAUAGAUACUGCUUGACACAAAGUGCUGGAGUCACUGCAAAUAUUGUUUAGUCACUGGGUUCAUGAAAUUCUGGAAAAUAGUUAUAUGUAUAAAAACUGGAUUGUUUAAUAACAUUAGGAUCUGAAUAAAUCGAUGCAUUUAGCCAAUGUAUCUCAGAAGAGCUGACAAUAGGCCAACAUCCACCCACCAUGCAUCUCUUAAAAAGUAAUUAAUGAACGGUGAACGGUACACAGCCUUGUAAUUUAUUUGUUGUCAACAAAAUAGUCUGCAAAAACUUAGAAAUGAAUUAAAAAACUGUUUACUUUUAUAAAUAUUUAUAUUAAAAUAUUACAAUCUUGCCAAUCUUUUCUAAUUUAAAAUUACAGCUUUAAUUAGUUUUUUUGCCACACUUGCUGAUGUUGAUUAACCCAAGGGUUUAUAUUUUAAUGUACACCAAAAUUAAUGAAGAGUAAUGGAAAGAUAGGUGUCAAGUCAGAUAUGGACUUUUCCUCUUGCAGGGGCUCUAACACUAAAUCAGCUAGCAAUGGACAAAUCAUGACAGAAUCAGUUCAUUAUUUCUCUUGAAGUCAUACCCCGAGUAAUCAAGAGAAUCAAGUUCUUGUAGCUAUAAAUCCAUCACUAUAAAAAAUAACAGGCUUUGGCAGCCAUAGGCAAGCAUUUUCAGGGAAAUCUUGACAAAGUUAGACAACAUAAGAAAUGAAUUACUAAAAAUUGCUGGAGAACAUUCAGCAAACUGAAAUAUUAAUUUACAGCUGUGCUGAUAUAAAAUGAUUUUGCCAAUCUAUAUCAACAAAAUUGUCAUCUGUAUCAACGAUUUGGACGAGAGUGAACAAGGCAUCAGUUUUCAGAUGAUACUAAAAUAGGUGGUAUCAUAGUCAGUGAAGGUGGUGAUCAAGAAUUACAGCAUGAUCUUAUUCAGCUGGGUAAGUGCAUGAGGAAUGGUAAUGGAGGUUCAUUCUGAUAGGUGUGAAAUAUGGCAUUUUAGGAAGUCAAAGCGGGGCAGGACCUUCACAGUGGGACACAAAGGAACCUUGAGAAUGUUGAAGGGCAGAGAAAUCUAGGAGCACAAGUUUAGUUUAGAGAUGCAGUGCAGAAACAGGCCCUUCGGCCCACCGAGUGCACGCCGACCAGCAAUCCCCGCAUACUAUCCUACACACACAAGGGACAAUUUACAUUUACACUAAGCCAAUUAACCUACAAACCUGUACAUCUUUUUUGGAGUGUGGGAGGAAAUCAAAGAAUGGGGAGAACGGACAAACUGCGUGCAGUCAGCACCUGUAGUCAGGAUCGAACCCGGGUCUCCUGCUCUGCAAGUGCUGUAAGGCAGCAACUCUACCGCUGUGCCACUAUGUCGUCCAAGUACAUAUAGUUCCCUGAACAUGGCGUCACUGAUAGAUUGGUGAAGAAUGGCUUUUGGCACGUUAGCAAUCAUCAGUCAGAGAAUUAAGUGUAGAUGUUGGGUCAUUAUUUACAAUUGUACAUUGUGUUGGCAAGGAUGCAUUUGGAGAGUUGUGUUCAGUUUUUUGUCACCCUGUUAUAGUAAGGAUGUCAUUAAGCUGGAAAUAGUACAGGUAAGAUUUACGAGGAUGUUGGCAGAAAUCGAGGCCCUGAGCUAUAGGGAGAAAUAGAGCAGGCUAGGACUUUAUUCGUUGCUAUACAGGAGGGUAAGGGCUCAGUUUAAAACUGCCAUCAGCAUCUAGUUAAAAUGUACAUAAAUGACAUUCUGCUUCCAUCAUU